UUUAAUUUCUUUAUUCUGAAUUUUAAUGUAAGAAAAAAAAGUUUACGUUAAAGUACAUACGAUAGUUUUUUUUUAUUAAAAGUGCAACAACGUAAUUUGUGAAAUCCAGGACUUAUGAAUCGCAUAGAUUUCUUCAUGACACUCGCAAAAAUCGUUAAAUAGGAAUACAAAGUCAGUACCGCAGAUGUAAUCUCAAGCUUUUAACACAAUAAGCUAGACAUUUUUAUCGGAACAUCGACACACUCUUUUUGGCUGUCGUUGGUUCAACUAAAUUAAUAAUCGAUUAUGUUUUUUUCUUUUUGUUAAUUAUUUUUACAACGAGAAAACACUUUCUACAAUAAAUAUGGAUGCCGUUAUCCUUAGUACCACGGUACUACUAUUUCAUGAAAUGAACUUUUUCAAGGUAUUCGCUCUGUAUAUAUACGCGAAAAAAUUUCGAACGUAAUUUUUUAAUGCGCCCUGUUUUUUCUUUUUAAUAACCUGGAACCUAUCAAAUGUUGCUUCACUUCGUCUUUUAACGCUUCUUCUACAUAGUCAAGCCCUUCAUUGCAUAGAACUCCGUCUUCGCUGCUUAAAAGUUAUACAUUUCAAUAUUUCAACAUAACUUCAAGGUUACACUCUUAUUGCUUUUCAUGGUGUCUUAAUGCAGUGUGCAUGAAGGGAAUGUUACGUGAAAUUCACAAUAAGUCUCUAAACUAAGCUCAAGAGAUCUUUGUUAAAAAAAUCUAGUAGACUCAGAUCUAAAAAGACGUUGCGUUUUUUUUACAGCAUUUCAUUAAACGAACUUCAUCUAUCUAUUUAUGUACAAUGAAUGUAUUCAAAUAAUUUUCUGUACUAGAAAAAAAAUCACAGUUUUCCUUAGGGUUACAAAAUUUUUUUUUAAAAGGAUGUCUUUGAAAAAAUAAACGAUAUCUGAUAAAAUCUUUUUGUGUUUUACGAAAUUUUUUUUAACAUUCACUAAUACGGUUAAAAAUUUUUUAAACUGUGAUCGUUAGAACCUUUCUACAUUUCCCUUUAGGUUUCCUUCCGUUACUUUUCAGUUUAUUUUGUCAAAAAAAAUUAUGCUUUUUACAAACCAGUAGUAAAAAAUACAGUUUUCAAAUUAAUUUCCCUUUUUACAUUACAUUGAAUAACACACUGAAUAUUUUCUAAUGUUCUUAAAUUGUAUAGUACAAGACGUCCAAUCUCCUCUGGCUUUCCGGUUUAUGCGUAUAGCAUUUUUUGUUGCGCGCCACAUAAAAAGCAGUAUAUCCAUAAAUAAGUACUGGCUAGAAACUUUCCAACUGUCUGUUCAACCGUUAUGACGUUUCUUCUUCUGCAUUCCUCCAUUUUACUUUGUACACAGUUCUAAUUUUAACAUGCCUUUAUUUGAAAAAAUCUUUAUUUCCGUAUAUUUAACGGCUGCGUUCUCUUAAACCUGAGCGAUUUCUAUUUUACUUUGCUGUUGAAUGAUAUGUAAUGCAAACUAAGACAAAAGCACAAACACGAUUUUCGAAUCAGAAAAGAAAUAAGUGGAACACUGCUUUACGUCCUACCAACGACGUCGCGAAAAGCAUCAAUUGUCGUUUAUUUAAAGGAAACAUUUUAGAUUUUUUGCAGUUCUACCCUAAUAACUAUUUUAUAAGAAAACAAGUUAGGUAGGACCGUGACUCGAUCAUGAACCACAAAAUUCGUUUUUUUUUUGUGUGUUUUACAAAGAAACAACCUAAUUUAAUAACACUCUAUUCCUAUUUAAGAUACUGGGUUACAGCGUUUAUGUUUUAUUAAACACAGUUUAAAGCUUUAAAUUCUAGUACACGUAACAAUUUUUGUUUCACUUAAACAAUUUGUGUUUGUAAAAAAAAUCAUUUUGAUUACAAAAUUUUAUCAAUUGUUAAUUAUAGAAAUGUAAAAAAGAAAAAAAACUUGAAGAAAUAAUUAAGGUGUACUUCAUUCACUAAGGCUUUUUUAAAU